CCACUUCCAACUUUAAGUUCCAGACUUCCAGUUCCAGCUGCCGAGGAAGGUGGGGCCGGGUUACGUGGCCAAUUCUCAGUCUCUCCAGUUCUUCCCUAAGUGAAAUUUCUGCCUGAAUUUAUUCGUCCAGAUUAAAUUCAUUGAAUAUGAUUUUAAGGAGCAAGGAAUGGUUUACAGGAGUAGGAGAUUGCAAUUUUAAAGCAAAAGGAGAGGUAUUAAGACAGAUAUGUGGUUCCCCCAGACUACUUCAUUAUCGAAAGACAUCAUAAAAGAAAAUUUAGAACACUUAGCAAUGGACGACCACCACAGCCUGAAGAGAACAUUCUGGUUGUUAAUACAAGACCAGCAAAGCCUUGAAGCUGGAGGACCUGGAAUUAAGCAGGGAAACCACAGCCUCGAAGCUGGUGGAAUAAAUUGCAAGAGGACUUCAGUUUGAACGUUUACUAUAUAUUGAAGCCGAUAACACUGAGAAAUCCAAGACGACUCGUAUCUGGAAGAGUUCAUUGCAAGAGGACUUCGUUUCAACGUUUACUAUUAAUAAUAGAUUUUAGCCGGUUAUCCAGGCCUCUUGAGUUAUUCUACCCGUCUGGACC